rnacentral:rRNA from 1 species
GACGAACGCUGGCGGCGUGCUUAACACAUGCAAGUCGAACGGAAAGGCCCUGCUUUUGUGGGGUGCUCGAGUGGCGAACGGGUGAGUAACACGUGAGUAACCUGCCCUUGACUUUGGGAUAACUUCAGGAAACUGGGGCUAAUACCGGAUAGGAGCUCCUGCUGCAUGGUGGGGGUUGGAAAGUUUCGGCGGUUGGGGAUGGACUCGCGGCUUAUCAGCUUGUUGGUGGGGUAGUGGCUUACCAAGGCUUUGACGGGUAGCCGGCCUGAGAGGGUGACCGGGGUCAUGGGGACUGAGAUACGGCCCAGAAUCCAACGGGAGGCAGCAGGGGGGAGUAUGGCACAAUGGGCGGAAGCCUGAUGCAGCAACGCCGCGUGCGGGAUGACGGCCUUCGGGUUGUAAACCGCUUUCGCCUGUGACGAAGCGUGAGUGACGGUAAUGGGUAAAGAAGCACCGGCUAACUACGUG